GAUGAACGCUGGCGGCGUGCCUAAUACAUGCAAGUCGAGCGAACGGACGAGAAGCUUGCUUCCCUGAUGUUAGCGGCGGACGGGUGUGUAACACGUGGAUAACCUACCUAUAAGACUGGGAUAACUUCGGGAAACCGUAGCUAAUACCGGAUAAUAUUUUGAACCGCAUGGUUCAAAAGUGAAAGACGGUCUUGCUGUCACUUAUAGAUGGAUCCGCGCUGCAUUAGCUAGUUGGUAAGGUAACGGCUUACCAAGGCAACGAUGCAUAGCCGCCCUGAGAGGGUGAUCGGCCACACUGGAACUGAGACACGGUCCAGACUCCUACGGGAGGCAGCAGUAGGGAAUCUUCCGCAAUGGGCGAAAGCCUGACGGAGCAACGCCGCGUGAGUGAUGAAGGUCUUCGGAUCGUAAAACUCUGUUAUUAGGGAAGAACAUAUGUGUAAGUAACUGUGCACAUCUUGACGGUACCUAAUCAGAAAGCCACGGCUAACUACGUG
rnacentral:rRNA from 1 species